CAUCUACUCCCUCUGUCCGAAAAUACUUGUCAUCAAAAUGGACAAAAGGAGAUGUAUCUAGAUAUAUUUUAGUUCUAAAUACACCCCUUUUUAUCUAUUUUGAUGACAAGUAUUUUCGGACGGAGGGAAUACUCA
rnacentral:pre_miRNA from 1 species